ensembl:lncRNA
ACAUAUCAUAUAUAAAUGAUUUUAUUCAGUCCUGAUAGUAAUUAUUAAGAUUGAUGUGGCUUGGAAUUAGUAAAAUAUGUUCAAUGGAUCAGCGAGUGAGUGAGAACAGGUGUGGCCCUGAGAACUAUUAGCAUGUCAAAUCAGAACAAUGUCAAAGAGCAGCAUUCGCUAUAGGGUUCAGACAGACUGCACAACAAGGUGAUUAAAACACUUUUAUACUGGACAUUGAGGUUUGUUUUAUGACUGAAAUGUUAAUCUGUAAUGCUCAACAAUCAUUAGUUAAACUUAAACUACUCAUUAUUUCUCUACUUUUUGCAAUAUAUAAUGCAAGAAUAGAAUCAAAUUGUCUAAUGGCAGAAGAUCUGUGGAGCAUCACAAACUACAGGAGAACUGAACAUUUGGAAAAGUGGAUUAUGGCAAACAAAGAGGAUGAGGUACAAUCUAAUGAACCAACAAAGAAAAAGGCGUCGAGACGAGUCAGACGGAACAGCAUUAACAGUGGAAAACCAAACUUUUUUCAUGAUGCAGACAGACCUGCAGAGAUUCAUUCUGAUCUUCAAGUCAAGUCACCUUUAUUUCUAUAGCGUUUUAUACAAUACAGAUAUUUACAUACACAGAGAAAAAAUACUAUGAAGAACUAAUGCACUUGUAACUUGUAAUAUCAUAAUGAAAUGAAUUUAGAAUUAAAUAAUUUUUUUGAUUGAAUUUCACUAAUGAAUCUGCACUGUAACAACACUGGCUGGCACUGAAAUUUAUUUUUAUUUUAAUUGUGUUUGUUCAUGUUGCAUAUUGUGCUUGUAUGACUGAAGUUCAAAUUUGUAAAAAAAAACAAAAAACAAAAAAAAAAAAAAAAUCAAAUGAACACCAAGCAAGCAAAGCACAAUGCAAAUCUCUCAAGCAGAGCACACUGGCUGUUCUGUAUUACAUGAUUUGUAUAAAGUCUUUGCAUCUUGUAUGCAAAGUUGCUGAGAUUACCCUUUCUCACUGACACUGCUGAUAUUGUAAGAUAGCUCAGUAGGACAAUGGUUUUAAUAGUUGUGAAAUAAAAGCAUUCUGAUAUAUAUGUGAGCUUCA